rnacentral:rRNA from 1 species
AAUACCGGAUAGUUCCUUGAACCGCAUGGUUCAAGGGAUGAAAGACGGUUUCGGCUGUCACUUACAGAUGGACCCGCGGCGCAUUAGCUAGUUGGUGGGGUAAUGGCUCACCAAGGCGACGAUGCGUAGCCGACCUGAGAGGGUGAUCGGCCACACUGGGACUGAGACACGGGCCCAGACUCCUACGGGAGGCAGCAGUAGGGAAUCUUCCGCAAUGAGACGAAAGUCUGACGGAGCAACGCUGCGUGAGUGAUUAAGGUUUUCGGAUCGUAAGCUCUGUUGUUAGGGAAGUACAAGUGCGAGAGUAACUGCUCGCACCUUGACGGUACCUAACCAGAAAGCCACGGCUAACUACGUGCCAGCAGCCGCGGUAAUACGUAGGUGGCAAGCGUUGUCCGGAAUGAUUGGGCGUAAAGGGCUCGCAGGCGGUUUCUUAAGUCUGAUGUGAAAGCCCCCGGCUCAACCGGGGAGGCUCAUUGGAAACUGGGAACUUGAUGUGCAGAAGAGGAGAUGGAAUUCCAUCGUGUAGCUGUUGAUAUGCGUAGAGAUUUGGAGGAACACCAGUGUCGAAGGCGACUCUCUGGUCUGUAACUGACGCUGAGGAGCGAAAGCGUGGGGAGCGAACAGGAUUAGAUACCCUGGUAGUCCACGCCGUAAACGAUGAGUGCUAAGUGUUAGGGGGUUUCCGCCCCUUAGUGCUGCAGCUAACGCAUUAAGCACUCCGCCUGGGGAGUACGGUCGCAAGACUGAAACUCAAAGGAAUUGACGGGGGCCCGCACAAGCGGU